rnacentral:sRNA from 1 species
AGACAUAUAGAUUCUACCACUGCAUCGAGUGUGAUACGAUAUUUAUCCACUCGAGACAAUUAAAUUUUCAAAUUUAAAACGCUUGGCUCGCCGAGCGUUUUAAAUAUUUAAAAUUUAACUGUCGAGAGUGGAUAAAUAUCGUAUCACACUCGAUGCAGUGGUAGAAUCUAUAUGUCU